UUUACGCAUGGUUUGAGGUGUG
rnacentral:miRNA from 1 species